AGAGUUUGAUCCUGGCUCAGGAUGAACGCUGGCGGCGUGCCUAACACAUGCAAGUCGAGCGAGAAAUAAAGAAAUGAAGCUUCGGUAGAUUUUCUUUAUGGAAAGCGGCGGACGGGUGAGUAACGCGUAGGCAACCUGCCCUGUACAGGGGGAUAGCCACCCGAAAAGGUGAUUAAUACCCCAUAACGCAAGAGAUACACAUGUAUCACUUGUCAAAGAUUUAUCGGUAUAGGAUGGGCCUGCGUCUGAUUAGCUAGUUGGUAAGGUAACGGCUUACCAAGGCAACGAUCAGUAGCCGACCUGAGAGGGUGAUCGGCCACAUUGGAACUGAGACACGGUCCAAACUCCUACGGGAGGCAGCAGUGGGGAAUAUUGCACAAUGGGCGCAAGCCUGAUGCAGCAACGCCGCGUGAAGGAUGAAGGCCUUCGGGUUGUAAACUUCUGUCCUAGGGGAAGAAACAAAUGACAUUACCCUUGGAGGAAGCCCCGGCUAACUACGUGCCAGCAGCCGCGGUAAUACGUAGGGGGCGAGCGUUAUCCGGAAUUAUUGGGCGUAAAGAGUGCGUAGGUGGCACCUUAAGCGCAGGGUUUAAGGCAAUGGCUCAACCAUUGUUCGCCUUGCGAACUGGGGUGCUUGAGUGCAGGAGGGGAAAGUGGAAUUCCUAGUGUAGCGGUGAAAUGCGUAGAUAUUAGGAGGAACACCAGUGGCGAAGGCGACUUUCUGGACUGUUACUGACACUGAGGCACGAAAGCGUGGGGAGCAAACAGGAUUAGAUACCCUGGUAGUCCACGCCGUAAACGAUGAGCACUAGGUGUUGGGCCCGUUAGGGCUCAGUGCCGCAGUUAACGCAAUAAGUGCUCCGCCUGGGGAGUACGCUCGCAAGAGUAAAACUCAAAGGAAUUGACGGGGACCCGCACAAGCAGCGGAGCAUGUGGUUUAAUUCGAAGCAACGCGAAGAACCUUA
rnacentral:rRNA from 1 species